CAGGCCUAACACAUGCAAGUCGAGGGGCAGCACAUGAGGCAGCAAUGCUGAUGGUGGCGACCGGCGCACGGGUGAGUAACGCGUAUGCAACCUGCCUACAACAGGGGAAUAACCCGUUGAAAGACGGACUAAUACUCCAUAAAACAGGGGUCCCGCAUGGGAAUAUUUGUUAAAGAUUUAUCGGUUGUAGAUGGGCAUGCGUUCCAUUAGCUAGUUGGUGAGGUAACGGCUCACCAAGGCAACGAUGGAUAGGGGAACUGAGAGGUUUAUCCCCCACACUGGUACUGAGACACGGACCAGACUCCUACGGGAGGCAGCAGUGAGGAAUAUUGGUCAAUGGACGCAAGUCUGAACCAGCCACGUCGCGUGAAGGAAGACGGCCCUACGGGUUGUAAACUUCUUUU
rnacentral:rRNA from 1 species